UUGCGGCUGGAUCACCUCCUUUCUGGAAACAAGCCAUUUAAUUUGAACGCCCACACUUAUCGGUUGUUGGAUGAAGUCGAUUCCAUCGACAUGGGUCUGUAGCUCAGCUGGUUAGAGCACCGUCUUGAUAAGGCGGGGGUCGUUGGUUCGAGCCCAACUAGACCCACCAAUUCUUCCAAUGGUCAUGUGCGCCGCCAGUGCGGCUGUCGCGCAUGAGGCCCGGGGGAUUAGCUCAGCUGGGAGAGCACCUGCUUUGCAAGCAGGGGGUCGUCGGUUCGAUCCCGUCAUCCUCCACCAAAAUC
rnacentral:misc_RNA from 1 species